GAUGAAGAACGCAGCGAAAUGCGAUAAGUAAUGUGAAUUGCAGAAUCCAGUGAAUCAUCGAAUCUUUGAACGCACAUUGCGCCCGCCAGCAUUCUGGCGGGCAUGCCUGUUCGAGUGUCAUUUCAACCCUCGACCUCCCUUUGGGGAAGUCGGCGUUGGGGACCGGCAGCACACCGCCGGCCCUGAAAUGGAGUGGCGGCCCGUCCGCGGCGACCUCUGCGUAGUAAACCAACUCGCACCGGAACCCCGACGUGGCCACGCCGUAAAACGCCCAACUUCUGAACGUUGACCUCGAAUCAGGUAGGACUACCCGCUGAACUUAAGCAUAUCAAUAAGCGGAGGA
rnacentral:misc_RNA from 1 species